GCCUAACACAUGCAAGUCGAGCGUGAUCUACUGAUGGCUUGCCAUCGGUAGUGAAAGCGGCAAACGGGUGAGUAACGCGUGGGAAUCUGCCUCUAAGUCAGGGAUAGACCGCCGAAAGGCGGAGUAAUACCGGAUAGUCCCGCAAGGGUAAAGUAGCAAUGCGCUUAGAGAGGAGCCUGCGUCAGAUUAGCUAGUAGGUGGGGUAAUGGCCCACCUAGGCGAUGAUCUGUAGCUGAUGUGAGAGCAUGAUCAGCCACAAUGGGACUGAGACACGGCCCAUACUCCUACGGGAGGCAGCAGUGAGGAAUCUUCCGCAAUGGGCGAAAGCCUGACGGAGCGACACCGCGUGGAGGAUGACGGCCCUCGGGUUGUAAACUCCUUUUCUGUGGGAAUAAUUUAAGAAGGUACCACAGGAAUAAGCACCGGCAAAUUCUGUGCCAGCCGCCGCGGUAAGAC
rnacentral:rRNA from 1 species